UCGCUGCUCUCCUAAUCCUUGCAACAGCCCUAUGAGGUCGUUCUAUUUUCCAGAUGAGGGAAGUAGGCCUUAGAGCGGUUUAUUCAUGUGUUUGUUCAGAAAUACCGUGGGGAUACCGAAAGGAGGAGGAUGUAGUACCGCCUCAAGGCCAUUGACAAGAUUAAAAGUCAGUUGGGAUGGUUUAGGAAGGAAAGACCCCAAACAACGGAGAUUUGGGAAGGCUUCCUAAAGGUGGUGGCAUUGGAGCUAGUCCUUGGCCGCCUUUAAAAGUGGGUCAGGUUUGGACGGGCCCCUCACGGGCUAAAGGCUCUGAGAGCAAAGGCCCAGGGGAAGCCCAGGGGUUCCUGUGGGCUACAGGGGUGGGAGGCAAGGCCGGGGGCUGGGCUGUGACAGAGGCCUGAGGCCUGACCGCCUGGCUAAGGAGAGUGGAUCUAAUCUUGAGAAGCAAUUAAGAGCAGCCACGGGAGGUUCUGGGCUGAGGAAUCCCGCUCUCGAAACUCCGCCUCGGGGAGAUAAAUGGGGGGGCAGCUCGAGGAAAGCCUGGAGGAGAGAGACACGGGGGCUGUCAGAGCCGCCCGGGGAGACGCGGAGCCUCCCCAGGCUAACAGGCCAGAGCUCCGGCGCUGGGCUCCCAGACCAGUCCUUUACCACAAGACUCGGCCAGGGACCAAAUGCUUCCUGGAUGCCCCGGAGCCAUCACGGAACAUCAGCUCCCACAUUUCUGAGCUGCUUUCAGCCAAAAUUAUCCCACUAAACGCAGAGACGUGGCCGGCCUGCCAGGCCACAGGCAGGCACUCUUUUUCCAGGGAGCGGACUGUAUACGGGGCGCUGCUUUAAUCUAGAAGAGGGCCUUGUCAUGAGGAGGCCUGGUUCAAUGAAUGCUUAUUGAAAUGAACUUUUCUAGAACCUCUCAGCAAGAGAAUACCCUGGGAGCAAAGAUCCCAUAGGGGUAGAAUGUAAAUCACUGAGAUAGAACGAUUGCUAUGUGAAACCACCUCACUCGCUUGUUUCGUCUCCGUCUCACCUGCUGCGGUCUAACUGCCGUGAACGUGAAGACAUUAGCCACCUUGCUCCACGCUCUUCCCCAGAACCUACGAGAGCAUCAAGUACCGCCAGAUGCAAAGUCGGUCCCCGUGAGUAGUUACGUGAAGGACCACGAACGCCCCAGCAAGAGUUUCCUUGCAGCCCGGAGCCUCAACGUGUCCUGUCUCUUGCCUACUGGCUAUGACCUGCCUUCCUGGGGUCCGUUCACAAGGAAGAGCGUGAAUAAACCAACCUCAUCAGGGUC